UGGGGAAUCUUAGACAAUGGGCGCAAGCCUGAUCUAGCCAUGCCGCGUGUGUGAUGAAGGCCUUAGGGUCGUAAAGCACUUUCGCCAGGGAUGAUAAUGACAGUACCUGGUAAAGAAACCCGGCUAACUCCGUGCCAGCAGCCGCGGUAAUACGGAGGGGGUUAGCGUUGUUCGGAAUUACUGGGCGUAAAGCGUACGUAGGCGGAUCAGAAAGUAGGGGGUGAAAUCCCAGGGCUCAACCCUGGAACUGCCUCCUAAACUCCUGGUCUUGAGUUCGAGAGAGGUGAGUGGAAUUCCAAGUGUAGAGGUGAAAUUCGUAGAUAUUUGGAGGAACACCAGUGGCGAAGGCGGCUCACUGGCUCGAUACUGACGCUGAGGUACGAAAGUGUGGGGAGCAAACAGGAUUAGAU
rnacentral:rRNA from 1 species